rnacentral:rRNA from 1 species
GACGAACGCUGGCGGCGUGCCUAAUACAUGCAAGUAGAACGCUGAAGGAGGAGCUUGCUUCUCUGGAUGAGUUGCGAACGGGUGAGUAACGCGUAGGUAACCUGCCUGGUAGCGGGGGAUAACUAUUGGAAACGAUAGCUAAUACCGCAUAAGAGUAGAUGUUGCAUGACAUUUACUUAAAAGGUGCAAUUGCAUCACUACCAGAUGGACCUGCGUUGUAUUAGCUAGUUGGUGAGGUAACGGCUCACCAAGGCAACGAUACAUAGCCGACCUGAGAGGGUGAUCGGCCACACUGGGACUGAGACACGGCCCAGACUCCUAUGGGAGGCAGCAGUAGGGAAUCUUCGGCAAUGGACGGAAGUCUGACCGAGCAACGCCGCGUGAGUGAAGAAGGUUUUCGGAUCGUAAAGCUCUGUUGUAAGAGAAGAACGAGUGUGAGAGUGGAAAGUUCACACUGUGACGGUAGCUUACCAGAAAGGGACGGCUAACUACGUG